ACAGACACUCAGCUCUAGAACAUUCUAGGGGAGAAGGGAGGGUGUGAGUCUGGUCACCGAGGCUGCAUCCACCCAUUCUCAGGAUGAGGGGCCUGACCUCAGUCCUGGCUAAUCUUUCACCAUUCAAUGAACUGGAAUUCAUGGCCUUCUGCCCAUCAAAUAGAGGUGGCAUGGAGACAGCCCCUCCUGUGGAUGGAGAGGACACGGGACUCACUCUUCAUGCAGUGGUGGCAGGUGGCCUUGGCGGAGAGAGCAGGUCAACCCGGCACAGGCUCCCACUGCCCAGACUCCAGUAACCUCUCCCCUCGGACCAUCUGCAGUCUGGAGAAUGCUUCUGGUCCCCAGGGGGUCCAAGGCUCUGGAGCCCGUGCCCAUGGCAGACACCAUCAGACUCCUCCAACCCACCCAAUGAUGUUUAUAGAGGCCUCUGAACUGGAACCCUUUACACUCUGAGUCAUUCACUCCAUGCUACAAGAGACACCUUCUACUCUUUUCAGAAAAUGCAAUUCUUCUCUCUGAGAGUGUGAAGAAAAAAGAGUCCCCAAAAUGCCAAUACUCUGAGAAGAUCACUAUGUAUAAAUAUUUUUAUUUUCAACUCAGACUGUCCACAGAUAGUUCAUCUGCCUUGACUAUUGUCAGAUAAUAUUUGUAAUAUAAUCUACUGAACACGUACUCUAAUAGGGGCAGGGUGGGUACAGUGGGAGACUUUGAUCUUGGCCGGUGAGACGUCCCUUUCAGUUGGCCUUGCAGGGGUCCCGGGGCAGAGAGUGCAGUGCAGGCUGAUCAUGGCCUUCUCCCCAGGGCCUUCCAGCCUCAGGCCAGUGGGUGAUCUGGGGGCCGGGGACAGUCAGGUUCAGUCCUUGAAGCAGCAGCAAACCUCUCCCUGAUCCCCCCCCUCCAAGCCCUAAUGGUGGUAGCUCUCUCCAUCGGUCACAGUCCAGGGGACCUGCCCUCAUUUGGAUGUGCUGAGGAGCCAGAGGCCCAACUGGGUCCUGGGUGCCUGGCUCCCUGAGUGAUGUCACCUGGACAGUGCUGGGGACCUGGCCCUGGGGGAGCCACCAGCUGACAUCUGCCUCCACAAUUGAGCCUCUCACUGUGGGAGGACCUAGCCUGGGUGCUGGACAAAUGCUCCCAA